GCCUGCAUGGAGUAGUGGUUAACUCAUCGGCCUCCGACUACACGGUCAGAAAGCCGGGAACUCGGGUUCGAAUCCCGGUGCAGGUG